CCGGUGGGUGAACCUGCGGAAGGAUCAUUG
rnacentral:rRNA from 1 species